GUGGUUGGAGCAGUGAUACGUGGCGCUGGGGAGGGAGAGCGGGUGGCUGGAUGGCUGGCUACAUUGUUUUGGUCAACACUGGUCAGUCUUGCCCCACACGCUCUUUUAACCAGUGUUUCCGUAUUCCCGGCAGCUUUUCCCUGUACCGAGCACCGCCAAGCAGCACCAGAGAGGCACGAAUAUGUAAGGGAGGAAGGGAGUACAAGCAAUGCAAUGGGUGACUUCCAAGCACUUACUGGCCUCCCAGGACCUGCAGUGGAACCAGAAACACUCCCUUUCUGGCGACAUUCACAGUUGUCACCAGUGCCACUCACUGCUGGAAGAUUGUGUCACUGUAUGCUGCCAAAGGUGUGAGUGAAGAGGAAAGAUGUAUUUGAGAUGCCAACAAGUCAAUUUGUUCUAGCCGCUUUUUAAUGUUUGGUGGGAAGCCUUGAGAAAAAGGCAGUCCCUGAGCAGCGUGUGCCACCAUGACGCAAGAUUGGCGUUCAUUGACUAUUAUUGUAACAGUACAGUAUUUUCAUUACAUCAGAGACCCCUAGGAGUUAAGGAAGGAAGGAGUACAAGCAACACAAUGGUUGACUUGGAAGUACUCACUGGCCUCCUAGGACUGGCAGUGGAACCAGGAACACACUCCCUUUCUGGCAGCAUUGGCAGUUGUCACUUCUGCCACUCAUUGCUGGAAGAUUGUGUCACUGUAUGCUACAAAAGGUGAUAUUCUCUCCGUCUCUCACUCUCUCUCUGACAGGCCUUUUUAACGUUUGCCGGGAGGCCUUGAGCAGUCCCUGAGCAGCGUGUGCUUCCAUGAUGCAAGAUUGGCUGGCGUUCAUUGACUAGUAUUGUAACAGUACAGUAUUUUUCAUUACACCAGAGACCUCUUGGAGUUAAAGAAAGUUAAAACAAAACAAGAAACUUUGUUUUGGGAUUAAUGUUAUUGUUAAAUGUAUGUUGGGAUGAAGGUUAUUGUUAAAUGUAUAUUACAUUAUUAUGUGUUACUGAUUGAGAUUGGG